rnacentral:hammerhead_ribozyme from 1 species
AUUCAGCCAACGAGUCCCAAAUAAGACGAAACACGCGUCCUAGAU